rnacentral:lncRNA from 1 species
CACAUCCUGUCCCAAAAGUAGUCUCAUUUGCGUUUCUCAACUGUGCCGUUGCUGCCUGCAGCGUGCUGGUAGCAUGGUAAGUAUCUUACCUUAGUACUCCCUAUGUUCCAAGUUAUACUUCACUUUAGUUUUAUCCUAAGUUGAACUUCUCUUAUUUUUACCAAGUUUAAAGAAAAACGAGAUUUUAGAUAAAUCAUGGUUUUUGAUGCAUUUCUUAGGAGUUGAGGACUCGAGGCUUCCCCGAGGCACCACAGAAGGUCACAAGGUUUUAAUCGCAUAGGUGUCGAGGUGUACCGCUAGUGCCAGAGGACACUAACAACGCCUCAAAGACCAUGAGUUAAACUAAUUUGAUAUUGUAGAUGUUGAUUCAUUUUCUAUAAACUUGGUCAUAGUUAGAGAAGUUUGACUUAGAGGAAAAGUGAACUAUAUGUUGGAACAGAGAGAGUAUGUAUAUACAUAUAUGCAAUGAAGUGGCAAGAUUGCUUUGAAAAUUUCAGUGAUACAACAUUAGCAACAUGUAAGAGUGCACCUGUAAAAUUUCCUAUGUUAUAUGACCGAAUGGUAGUUAUUGUCAUGCCACAUCAGUUAUAUCUUUUGUCUUGAUCGGAAGCUUAUUUCAAAUGA